CAGCCGCCGCGGGAAUACGUAGGGUGCGAGCGUUAAUCGGAAUUACUGGGCGUAAAGGGCGCGUAGGUGGUUAUGUAAGUGAGAUGUGAAAUCCCCGGGCUCAACCUGGGAACUGCAUCUUAUACUGCGUAGCUGGAGUGCAGUAGAGGGUAGUGGAAUUUCCGGUGUAGCGGUGAAAUGCGUAGAUAUCGGAAGGAACACCAGUGGCGAAGGCGGCUACCUGGACUGACACUGACACUGAGGCGCGAAAGCGUGGGGAGCAAACAGGAUUAGAUACCCCAGUAGUCCCUGUCUCUUAUAC
rnacentral:rRNA from 1 species